CCGUGCUAGACGGGGAGGUAGCGGUGCCCUGUAACUCGCAAUCCGCUGUAGCGAGGUUGAAUUCCUAUUCGAGGUUAUGUUCAUGCGAGGCUGGUCUUUAUGAACAGUGUUGACGGACGGGUCCUCCGCAAUGGGCGCUUGUGAACGGGUCAGGUCCGGAAGGAAGCAGCCAUAAGCAGGUACGCUCAUGUGCCGGAGGAGUGCCUGACCUGAGCUGGAAUUAAAGUUUCCGCUUGUGUGGCAUAUAUCGGAGAUAGGUGCACGG
rnacentral:SRP_RNA from 1 species